rnacentral:rRNA from 1 species
UACGGAGGGUGCAAGCGUUAUCCGGAUUCAUUGGGCUUAAAGGGUGCGUAGGUGGUCUUAUAAGUCAGUGGUGAAAUCUCUGGGCUUAACCCAGAAAUUGCCAUUGAUACUGUAGGACUUGAGUACAGUUGCCGUUGGCGGAAUAUGACAUGUAGUGGUGAAAUACAUAGAGAUGUCAUAGAACACCGAUUGCGAAGGCAGCUAACGAGGCUGUAACUGACACUGAGGCUCGAAAGUGCGGGGAGCAAACAGG